UACGAACCGUGCGAACGUUGUUCGGAAUCACUGGGCUUAAAGGGUGCGUAGGCGGGUUGUCCAGUCUGGGGUGAAAUCCCACGGCUCAACCGUGGAAUUGCCUCAGAUACUGACGGCCUCGAGGGAGGUAGGGGCGAGCGGAACUGUGGGUGGAGCGGUGAAAUGCGUUGAUAUCCACAGGAACUCCGGUGGCGAAGGCGGCUCGCUGGACCUCUUCUGACGCUGAGGCAAGAAAGCUAGGGGAGCAAACGGG
rnacentral:rRNA from 1 species